UACGUAGGGGGCUAGCGUUGUCCGGAAUCAUUGGGCGUAAAGCGCGUGUAGGCGGCCCGAUAAGUCCGCUGUGAAAGUCGGGGGCUCAACCCUCGAAAGCCGUUGGAUACUGUCAGGCUAGAGUACGGAAGAGGCGAGUGGAAUUCCUGGUGUAGCGGUGAAAUGCGCAGAUAUCAGGAGGAACACCCAUUGCGAAGGCAGCUCGCUGGGACGUUACUGACGCUGAGACGCGAAAGCGUGGGGAGCAAACAGG
rnacentral:rRNA from 1 species